rnacentral:rRNA from 1 species
CCUACGGGAGACAGCAGUGAGGAAUAUUGGUCAAUGGGCGGAAGCCUGAACCAGCCAAGUAGCGUGCAGGAUGACGGCCCUACGGGUUGUAAACUGCUUUUAUACGGGAAUAACGCGCCUUACGUGUAGGGCUUUGCAUGUACCGUAUGAAUAAGGACCGGCUAAUUCCGUGCCAGCAGCCGCGGUAAUACGGAAGGUCCGGGCGUUAUCCGGAUUUAUUGGGGUUAAAGGGUGCGUAGGCCGCAUGUCAAGCGUGCUGGGAAAUGUUCGGGCUCAACCCGGGCCUUGCAGCGCAAACUGGCGUGCUUGAGUGCGCGGGAGGCAGGCGGAAUUCGUCGUGUAGCGGUGAAAUGCUUAGAUAUGACGAAGAACACCGAUUGCGAAGGCAGCUUGCUGGAGCGGAACUGACGCUGAUGCUCGAAAGCGCGGGUAGCGAACAGGAUUAGAUACCCCAGUAGUC